UACCCCACACUGGUGGUGACAGGGUUAAGGGGAGCUGGUGAUACCAAUUAGCCCAUUCUCUGGCACCUGGUGGGGAGACAGGUAAUAAAGAAUUAAACCCAACUGGGCAGUUUCUGUAAAGGAAGGCAUGCAGGGCAAGUGGCAGAGGAGACUUAAGAGAGAAAUAGCGGGGUUUUUCCUCUCUUUAGGAAAGGAAUGAAAGAGGGACUUGUGGGAAGGAACUUGUACCUGGUACUGUUCCUGAAGGGAGAGGGCAGCUGGGGAGAAGCAGAAUCCUAAAGUAGGCCUGGAAAAGAGAAGCUACAGGGAUGAAGACUUGAGAGUCAUUGUCCUAGGAGGAGCUGGGCCUCAUGGAAAAAACCCUCAGAAGCAGCCCUCUGUAACAAAGCGGGGAAGAGCAAGGAACCUGUGGAGAACUGAGUCUAGGCAGGGUGGAAGAGUUUUUAUUCUGCUGCGUUUGGACAUCGUUACUGUGGAAGAAGUGGAACCCUUCAUAUGACCUGGUUGAAGGACCAAGUUACUGCAUCUACCACUGAUGUCCAGAGGAGGAAGGCGCUGCCUCUCUGGAGACGCAGGUGGGGGACACAACGCUUAAGGAGCCAGGGCUGCGAUUAUAAGCAAUCUGGCUGGAAGGCUGAGUCAUGAGAAGGUGUGAACCUCUGCAGGCUCAGGGCAGUCAAUUGGGAGCAAAAUCAGAGGCUGCUGCGCUAUGCCUGGCCACGAGGGAGCACACCAGCUGGCAACGGAGCAGAAUGUGACAUUUAUUCAUGGGAACCUUUAAAUAACACUGUGCUGGAGGCACUGGUGAGAUGGUGGACUAUAGGAGACAAUGCUUGAAAUUGACAGGCGUGUAAUAAAUGGACUUCACUUUUUAGGUUGGUUCUGGAGUACACGGAAGAAUUUAAACAUCUGUUCAGGGAAAACAACUCCAGGGGCAUGAAGCCUGUUUUAAAGACCAGCUGCCUAAAACAAACUCUUUAAGGAAUCACCAAACAUUAAAUUACUUGUGUUAAGCAAACACUCAACACGGGAAGAGGAAUCAUGGAUAAGAUGCUAGCUUGGGAUGUCAGAGUCCUGGCUUCAAUUCCCAGUUCUGCCACAGCUUCCCUUUGUUACUUCGUCCUCUGUGUCUCUCAGUUCCCCCUCUGUAAAAUGGGGAUGCAGCACCGCUAGGAGUAGAGAUACUACAGUAAGGGGGCCAUAUAAGUACUCUAAGAUCAAACCUCACUUCAACACUGCCAGAGAGUCCUAGCCACAUUCUUUAUUAGGAAACUGCUUUGGACUGUAAUGCCUAUAGGGCACAUGUGUAUACAGAGGAAGGGUCCAGUCCUGCUGUGGGCCCACUCACCUUAGUUAAGUUAGUCACAUGCUUUGGGUCCCUCCAAGAUCCAGAGCGUAAUCUGUGCACACUUUGUAUAGCUCUGUGUAUUGCUCUAAGGCCAGGUCUACACCUAAAAGUUAGGUCGACCCAGUUACAUUGCCAUGUAUUUACGCCAAUGCAGCAUCGGUGUAAACCCUACGUUGCCUACGUUGACUGUGGCUGGCUUUCAGAAGCCAUCCCACAAUGCACUGCCCUGACAGUUCAAUCAGCACAAAUGCUCCUGCGGAGGACAUGCACUGUUAACACAAAGAGCAAACCUUAGACGUGCACAAGCACUGUAACUGUAUGUCAGUGUAAGUUAGACCAACUUAAUUUUGUCACGUAGACAGGCCCUCAGUAACAAACCGUUAGACUAGACCAGUGCUACUCAAAGUGGUGGUCCGUGGACCGGUGCUGGUCUGCGAGCCAUUGGCUGCCGGUCUGCGUGCACAUUGGAAAAAAAAUUGCUGGUCCCCCACAUCUGAUAGCUUGAGAAGCACUGGGCUAGACUGUUUAAAAUGUGGUGUUUGACACAAUUUAAAAAAAAAAAUAAAGGCUGAGCUGAAACAAGAUAAGGAAGGCAGACUUUCAGGGAAACUAUUAGUGAAAAUCAGAUCAGUCUAACUCAUUAACUGCUGCAUUGAUUUCAAUAGACUGUGAGUGACCUCUCACUUCAGAGCUAGGAGGGGGAUGGUGGUUAAGACAGGAUUGCCACUUAUUUCUUCCCCUCUUCCCCCCCCCCCGCCAAGAAGGAAAGACAUUCAAUAAGCCCAGCAAGGUAUGUGAUGCCCACUGAGGGGGAACCAAGCCCAUUGCGUCAAUGAUUGUAUUUGA